rnacentral:rRNA from 1 species
UGGGGAAUACCGGCGAGAAAUCGCCGACAAUACCUCAUGGGCUCCCCGGCCAUGAAGCCGAGGGGCAAAGUUCGUCCCGUCGCAAGACGGGAGGGACGCGUGCUGAUGAGCCUGCGGCUGAUUAGCUGGCUGGUGGGGUAAUGGCCUACCAGGGCGAUGAUCAGUAGCUGGUCUGAGAGGACGAGCAGCCACACUGGGAUUGAGAACGGCCCAG